CCUCCCCUGGGCAGGGCCAGCUCCUCCAGUUCCUGCACACCUGGAGCCAAUUGCAGGCAAUCAACCCAGAGUGAUUCAAGCCUCACGCUGACGUUCAUUCACCGCCAGUUUGUCAUCAACCCAUGUUGGUGGCUGGCUCUUGUGUUUCUAGUUCUGUCUGUGAUUUACCUUGAUAACCAAACUUUCUUGUGCUGCAGUUUCUGAAUUCACCCUGCCUCAAACCUUUGGCUCACACUCUACUCUCAGAGUCAGGAUACUAAGCCACCAUUCUGGAAAUCACUCUGUGCCUCACCUGCCUGCCCUCCUGCCAUCACAUUCCAUCUGGAACCUCCGGAUCUCAGGUCAGCCUUUCCCCGGAUCCCCGUCGCCCUCCUCUCAUCACUCUGUUUCUCCUCCUGCAAUGUGACUGCUUACUGCCCAGCUCCAGUCUGCAUCUCGUGCCCUGUUCCCUCUCUCUAGUUCUGCAUUCCCCUAGCCAUGUUACCCAGGCCACACCAAAUCAAGCUCUACGUGUUAUUGCUUUUUGUCCUUGCUACUUUUCCAAAGUCUAAGUCUAACCAAUAAAACAUUGUUAAACCGCCUGCUGUCUCUGUUCUGGGUUUCUGUGCCUGAGUCCAGUUUCUGUACGGACCACUCGGUCACAUGACACAGCUAUUGCAGCAUAUGUGAUAAUAGACCUCUCUGAAUUGAAUCAUAUUUGUUAUUAAUCUCUGGCUCUCUUCCACAGCAUGUCUUUUGUCCCGUCUUCCUUCUCUCACCCAACCGGUCGCAGCAGAUGGCCCCGCCCCUCCCUGUGCCUGGUUCUACCAGAGGUUUCUUCCUGUUGAAAGGGAGUUUUUCCUUCCCCCUGUCACCAAAGUGCUUGCUUAUAGGGGGUCAUAUGAUUGUUGGGUUUUUCUCUGUAUUAUUAUAGGAUCUACUUUAUAAUAUAAAACCUUGAGGCGACUGUUGUUGUGAUUUGAUGCUGUACAAAUAAAAUGCAAUUAAAUUGAAUCUCUUGUAAGGAAACAAUUUUCAGGUAUAAAUAAGACAAAAGUUCCCCAAAAUAAAU
rnacentral:lncRNA from 1 species